GUGGGGAAUCUUGCGCAAUGGGCGAAAGCCUGACGCAGCCAUGCCGCGUGAAUGAUGAAGGUCUUAGGAUUGUAAAAUUCUUUCACCGGGGACGAUAAUGACGGUACCCGGAGAAGAAGCCCCGGCUAACUUCGUGCCAGCAGCCGCGGUAAUACGAAGGGGGCUAGCGUUGCUCGGAAUUACUGGGCGUAAAGGGCGCGUAGGCGGACAGUUUAGUCAGAGGUGAAAGCCCAGGGCUCAACCUUGGAAUUGCCUUUGAUACUGGCUGUCUUGAGUACGGGAGAGGUGAGUGGAACUCCGAGUGUAGAGGUGAAAUUCGUAGAUAUUCGGAAGAACACCAGUGGCGAAGGCGACUCACUGGCCCGUUACUGACGCUGAGGCGCGAAAGCGUGGGGGGCAAACAGGAUUAGAAACCCUGGUAGUCC
rnacentral:rRNA from 1 species